rnacentral:rRNA from 1 species
GUGGGGAAUCUUAGACAAUGGGGGCAACCCUGAUCUAGCCAUGCCGCGUGAUCGAUGAAGGCCUUAGGGUUGUAAAGAUCUUUCAGCUGGGAAGAUAAUGACGGUACCAGCAGUAGAAGCCCCGGCUAACUCCGUGCCAGCAGCCGCGGUAAUACGGAGGGGGCUAGCGUUGUUCGGAAUUACUGGGCGUAAAGCGCACGUAGGCGGAUUGGAAAGUUGGGGGUGAAAUCCAGGCGCUCAACCCCGGAACUGCCUUCAAAACUCCCAGUCUUGCAGUCUGGAGAGGUGAGUGGACUUCCGAGUGUAGAGGUGAAAUUCGUAGAUAGUCGGGGGAACACCAAUCGCGAAGGCGGCUCACUGGCUCGAUACUGACGCUGAGGUGCGAAAGCGUGGGGAGCAAACAGGAUUAGAUACCCCAGUAGUCC